UGUGUUGUAGGAGAGAGAAAUAAUAGGAUUAGCGCGGGUAAUUUGUGGUUGUAAACCAUAGGAAGGGAUAAGUUUUCUCCCCGACGCAA
rnacentral:tRNA from 1 species